rnacentral:rRNA from 1 species
GAUGAACGCUGGCGGCGUGCCUAAUACAUGCAAGUCGAGCGAACAGACGAGGAGCUUGCUCCUCUGCCGUUAGCGGCGGACGGGUGAGUAACACGUGGAUCACCUACCUAUAAGACUGGGAUAACUUCGGGAAACCGGAGCUAAUACCGGAUAAUAUAUUGAACCGCAUGGUUCAAUAGUGCUAGACGGUUUUGCUGUCACUUAUAGCUGGAUCCGCGCCGCAUUAGCUAGUUGGUAAGGUAACGGCUUACCAAGGCAACGAUGCGUAGCCGACCUGAGAGGGUGAUCGGCCACACGGGAACUGAGACACGGUCCAGACUCCUACGGGAGGCAGCAGUAGGGAAUCUGCCGCAAUGGGCGAAAGCUUGACGGAGCAACGCCGAGUGAGUGAUGAAGGUCUUCGGAUCGUAAAACUCUGUUAUUAGGGAAGAACAAAUGUGUAAGUAACUAUGCACGUCUUGACGGUACCUAAUCAGAAAGCCACGGCUAACUACGUG